rnacentral:rRNA from 1 species
AGCUGGCUGGUGCCAUGAGGUGACUUCUGCCCAGUGCUCUGAUUGUCAAUGCGAAGAGAUUCAGCCAAGCGCGGGUAAACGGCGGGAGUAACUAUGACUCUCUUAAGGUAGCCAAAUGCCUCGUCAACCAAUUAUUGACGCGCAUGAAUGGAUCAAUGAGAUUCCUGCUGUCCCUAGUCGCUGUCUGGUGAACCAACAACCAAGGGAACGGGCUUGGAUGUGCCAGCGGGGAAAGAAGACCCUGUUGAGUUUGACUCUAGUCUGAUGCUGUGCAACGACAUGUGGGGUGUAGCACAGGUGGGAGGCAAGUGCCCCUGUGAUUUGUGCUGGUCAUACUCUCUGGGAAAGCAGACAAGCAGUCAGUACAAAGCAAACCACCCUCUCUCUGGGUGCGAGCCAACAGUGAAAUACCACUACCUUCACCGUCGUUUUACUCAUCGAGUUGUCUGGGAAGGGCAGCCACUGAGAGCAACGUUCCUCUCCAAGCUUCCCCCUCGGGGGUUGCUGGGGUCUGGUUCGUGCCGUGGUUGACCCACUUCUUGCGCCAAGCACCAAGGGCUCCGGCCCUGGUGUGACCCUGGAAUUGAUGCAAUCCAAUCAGAAGCCUCGAGACAUUGAUCAGACGGGGAGUUUGGCUGGGGCGGCACGCCUGUUACAACACAACGCAAGCGUCCUGAAGCAUUGCUCAGAUGGAACAGAAAUCUCUCCAGGAGGAGAAGGCCAAAGGUGCUGCUGAUCCGGUGACCUUCAGUACAGGUCCAAGAUGUGCAAUCAUGGCUUAGCGAUCCUUUGGAUCCACUGCGGAUUUGGGAUAUCAAAGCCAGAGGUGUCAGAAAAAUUACCACAGGGAUAACUGGCUUGUGGCAGCCAAGCGUUCAAAGCGACGUUGCUUUUUGAUCCUUCGAUGUCGGCUCUUCCUAGCUUCCCACCCGCAGCCGAGUGGAAGAGUUGGAUUGUUCACCCACUGACAGGGAACGUGAGCUGG